rnacentral:rRNA from 1 species
AUGAAUCUUAAUGUCCGCGUUACUCAUCCAUGUGCAGAGGGGAAUAGCAGGUUAUGCGUCUCGGUGAGAGACUACUACUGUUACAUGCUCCAGACACGACCUGGGAUAUUCAAUCCCAUACUCUGUGGAGCACGAUUGCUCCAGCAAUGGGGGGUAGACAUGUACAUCAAGAUUGAGAGUUGUAGGUUGAAAUGGUACAGGAAGAACCAGACAAAGAUCCGUGCUGACCUGUAUAAAGGAGUUGUUGAUGCAAUUACAUCCGGGGAGACCCGGGCAAGCGUUGUUGGAGUAAGGAUGGUGCUCCCUGGAACGUACCCAGGUGGCGACCGCGACAUGAAGCGGAGCCAUAUGGAUGCCAUGGCAAUUGUCCAUACCUACGGGAAGCCUGACAUCUUCUUGACCAUGACCUGCAACCCUAACUGGGAAGAGAUAACGAAUGAGUUGUUUCCUGGCCAGACAGCGCAAGACCGACCUGAUCUUGUGGCUCAUGUGUUCCAUGGCAAGCUAGAGGCUAUGAAAGAGAUGUUGUUCAAGAAGAAUAUCCUGGGUGUUGUUGUCGCACAUGUAUACGUAGUCGAGUUCCAGAAGAGGGGCCUCCCCCAUGCACACUUUUUGUUGAUCAUGGAUUCUGCCUAUAAGCUUGUCGUUCCAGAGCAGUACGACCGGCUCAUUUCUGCCGAGCUCCCAGACAAGCAGAAGUAUCCUGAACUCCACGCAUUGGUGGUGAAACAUAUGAUGCACGGACCAUGCGGUGCUCUCAACCCAAAAAAUGUGUGCAUGCAACAGAACGAGUGCAAGUGCAGAUACCCGCGGCCGUUCAAUGAAAACACAACCCAGGGCAAGGACUCAUACCCAGUUUAUCGUCAUCGAGAUAAUGGUCGGCAGGCUAAGGUCCGGAGUAAAAUGUUGGACAACAGAUGGGUUGUGCCGUAUAACCCUUACCUUCUGCAGAUGUUCAAUUGCCACAUCAACGUUGAGGUUUGCUCUAGCAUAAAUGCCGUCAAAUACCUUUACAAGUACAUAUACAAGGGCCAUGAUAGGGCUUCUUUCAGCAUCGACCAGCCCGACGCCGAUGGUAAUAUUGAUGAGAUCAAAAGAUACGUAGACGCGAGGUGGGUUACUCCUCCAGAGGCGAUGUGGAGGAUAUUUGGCUUCCCCUUGUGUGCCAAUGACCCGCCUGUCCUACAGUUGCCUCUUCAUCUCCCGAAUAUGCACAGGGUGGCAUUCAAUGAGCAAGCUCACUUGACCGACGUAGUCGCCUCUGAGAAUGCUUCCAAAUCCAUGUUGACAGAGUAUUUCAAAGCUAACCAAAACCACCCGUGGGCUAGGAAUAUAUUGUACAAGGAUUUUCCUGGAAGGUUCACAUGGCAGAAGGGUAAGAAGUAUUGGAAAGAGCGGGUGGAGCAUUAUCAGAUAGGUCGAAUUGUGUCUGCCAAUCCUGCAGAGGAGGAGCGAUACUAUCUGCGUGUGCUGCUAAACCAUGUUGCUGGCAAGACAUCCUAUGAGGACCUGCUCACCGUGGAUGGUAGGCUAUGCGGGAGCUUUAGAGAGGUUGCCGAAAGGUUGGGACUCAUCGAGGCAGAUAACACGCUCGACGACUGUCUUACCGAGGCAGAGCAGUGGGCGAUGCCAUGUUCGCUCAGGAGGCUCUUUGCAACAAUUUUGGUGCACUGUGAGCCAGGCGACGUGCGUGGUUUAUGGGAUAGGCACUUCGAGCCUAUGUCUGAUGACUAUCGGCGAUCACACACGUACCCGAUUGAGGUGGAACAGAUGGUAUUGCUUGACAUUAUGGGUAUGUUGCAGUCCAUGGGCAAAGACAUAGCUGAUUUCGCUCUUCCAUGCAUUGACGAAGCGUUCGACCCAACCGAGGGCGAGGCCAGAGAAGUGAUCGAGGAAUCCAACGUCGAUUUUGACAUCAACGACACUAAAUUGGCUUCGUCGCUAAACUCAGAGCAAAGGGCUGCAUACGAUGAGAUACUAGCUUUUGUUGAACACAGUGAUGGGGGUGUGUUCUUUGUUGAUGGCCCGGGAGGUACAGGGAAGACCUUCCUGUACAGGGCGCUGCUCGCCAAGGUUCGAAGCGAGGGAAGCAUCGCUAUCGCUACCGCGACGUCAGGCGUCGCCGCUUCUAUCAUGCCUGGAGGCAGGACUGCCCACUCGAGGUUCAAGAUCCCAUUGAGCUGCGACGAUGGCGCCUCAUGCACCUUCACGAAGCAGAGUGGUACCGCCAAGCUACUAAGGAUGGCCUCAUUGAUACUAUGGGAUGAGGCCACCAUGACUAAGCGACAGGCGGUCGAGGCAUUGGACAACAGCAUGCGUGACAUCAUGGGAAGACGGGACCGACCCUUUGGAGGAAAAACUGUUGUGUUUGGCGGGGACUUCAGACAGGUGCUUCCGGUCGUCAGGAGGGGGUCCCGGGGUCAGAUAAUCGAUGCAACCCUCCGAAGUUCACACCUCUGGAAGGGUAUGCGCCAGCUAAGGCUCAUCACCAACAUGAGGGCUCAUAAUGACACCUGGUUUGCGGAUUACUUGCUAAGGGUAGGCAAUGGCACCGAGGAAGUUGACGAUCAAGGAAACAUACGACUCCUUGAAGAUAUUUGUGUGCCGUCUACAGGCGAGGGUGACGACCUGGAGAAGCUGAUUGAUCAUGUGUUCCCAAGACUAGAUGAGAACAUGUCCAAUCCGAAUUACAUGACUUCACGCGCAAUCCUCUCCACCACGAACGACAACGUCGACAAGAUAAACAUGCGCAUGGUAGAGCGUUUUCGGGGAGAAGAAGUAAUCUACCAUAGCUUUGAUAGUGCAGAAGACGACCCGUAUGGCUACUAUGCUCCUGAGUUCCUAAAUGGAUUGACUCCCAACGGUCUGCCUCCGCAUGCACUCAAACUGAAGCUCAACUGCCCUGUCAUACUUCUGAGGAACAUUGAUCCGGCUAAUGGUCUGUGUAACGGGACGAGGCUUGUGGUGCGAGGUUUCGAGAGGAACGCCAUCGACGCAGAAAUAGUGAUCGGACAAUAG